UAAUGAGGACUCAGGUCGCAGGGCCUGGGGGAGCGAGCCCUCCGCGGUGGCCACGGUGACCGCUGGCCACAGGCCCUCACUGUGCACCCCUCCUGCCCCAUUUGGGGUCUGGAACUGAGUUCUCUGCCUGAGGAGGGACCGGCCUUCACCUCGAGGAGUUCCAGUCAGCAGGCUUGGACUGAAGCAGAUCGCCCUCCAUCGCAUGGUGGGCCUCAGCCAGUCAGCUUCAGCCUUGAGAAAAGACUGAGAUCCGCGAGGGCGAAGGAAUUCUACCUCCAGACGCCUUCUGACUGGAGCUGCAACCUCAGCUUCCUGGGGCUCCAGCCAGCAGGACCCACAGUCACGGUGGGAACCGAGGCAGUUGGUUUGGGAACAUCCUCCUGCUCGAACGCAAGCACCAGUGCAGCCGCCCAACAGCCGCGUUCGUUCUCACCAGCUCUGGGCAGACCCAGAGGGUGAGGCAGGUCCUUCGAGGACGUUUUGAAGUUCUGACCACAAUUCUUCUGAGAACAAAGACCCCGGCAUCUGCCUGGCUCUGCCUCCGGGCCUCGGAGAUUUACGGGGAGCGAGCACAGGAGAUGGGCUCUCACGGAGGAGACGGGGCAGGUGGACGGCACGUGUUUGGAGCAGGAGGCACGGAUCCCAGCGGGGCCUGGGGCCCACGUCCACCUCGAUGCAUCCUGCGUGGCUCACCCCCCCCCCACACACACACACACCUCCUCAGCCUAAGGGAAGAGGAGUGUGGCAGCCGAGGGCCUGGGUGAGUCGGCAGCGGCACGGCUUGUGCAGCGGCUCCCAGCGGCGGCCCUAGGAGGGGAGAGCCAAGAGACCCUGUUGUCUCUGCGACAUCACGCAGCACAGGCCCGGGCUUCCUGGGGGCCCCGUGACCCUGAUCUCAGCCUCAGAGGCCAGUGAAAGAAGGAAAAAAGAGAGACGAGGGCAAAAAUGAAGGUGAUGUGCCGCCCCCUCAUCUGUGGAUGUUGAGUGAGUCCAGGAGGGCUUCCUGGUAGAGGUGACCUUCAGGCAGGCCCUUCUCUGCAGACAUCAGACCAGGACUCUGCAACUGUGUGGAAAUGAAUUCUGCCAACACCCUGCCCGGACCCCCUGGGGGGUGGGGCGUCCCGACGAGGACCCGGCCCAAAUCUCCUGAGCUCAGCCUGGGUGGCGGGCAGAGGACCGGCUGCGUCACACCGAACGCUGCUGGACGCCAGAAAUGCCUUCCAGCCUCUGGUCAGUGCUGCACGGCCGUAGCAAAGGACUACACACAGGAGCUAUAUUUGGACAAACGUCUGCAUUCACAAGUUCUUGGUGAGAUAUGUACGCGUUUGAGUCAGCAUUUCCCCUUGUUCCGGAUUGUGCCGUGGGGCGCUGGGGAGGAUUCUUAGAAAUAAAUGCUGCGGAAAGGCCA